CAUUAAAAAAAAAAAAAAAAAAGACGCUUCAACCUAAAGCGUUAGUGAAGCGUCUCUUCCAUGUUUCUACCAUCACAAAAUAGGACGACAAUCUCUACCAUAACAGACAAUUUUCUCGCCUCCAACUCUCAAAAUUUGGACAAAUGCCAACAGGUCAAAUCUGCAAUAGGUUCCAUGGUAUGGUAGCAUCAAGUUCAUGGGGAAACAGAUGUCCACAGGCUUGAUCUGCAGUACUUAAUUCACUUCACUAAUUAGGAGGUGAUAGUCUGUAUAGCUGAAAGAUCUAGGCAUCACUUCUUGCACGAUCAUCUGUUCAACUUCCUAAGUAUUCUCAAUCUGUUAUGCUUUCAAAGUUCCCAGCAACAUCUGCCUGUCCAAAGCAAAUUGCACACGAUUCUAUUAAAGUCACUCCAGGGGAAGUGCUGCCGGUUAUGGUGAAUCAAGCUACUCAACCAACUAUUGAGGAUCAGGCUACUCAUAUAGUUGAUCAACCAGCACCUGCUGAUCUUAUGUUACCAACUGUUGAUAACCAAACAACACCGGCUAAACCUGUUCUAGCCAUUCUUGUUGAUGAUAACAAGGAUUCUAGUUCCAUAUCUGAAAAUAAGUCUUCUGAAAUGUUUGACAUCUCAAAUGCUGAAGCAAUAGGAGAUGCUACUGAUCCACCUAGCAUACCACAACCCACAUCACUCUGUGUCUAAUCCACAAAUGAUAGUAUAGGUGCAACACUUAUAGAAGAUAGUGCAGCUCAGAUAUCACUAGAACCACAAAGGCAUUAUAUGAUCACCAGAUAUAAGGAAAAAUCAACUGCUUUAACUUAUGUGUCUCUUGUUUCAAGCAAAGAACAGAUCAUGAGGGAACCAAAAUCAACAAAUGAAGCACUGAAGUCACCACAUUGGUUUGCAGCUAUGCAGGAUAAGAUAAAUGCUUUACACAAUAACAAAAUAUGGAUACUAGUACCUAAACAUGCAGGUAUGAACUUGGUUGGCUCCAAAUGGAUGUUUAAGACUAAACUGCAGGAAAAUGGAGCAAUCGACAGGCACAAAGCAAGGAUUGUUGCUAGGGGUUUCUCUCAACUUGAAGGAAUAGACUUUGAAGAAACAUUCAUUCCAGUGGUUAAGGCUACAACCAUUAGAGUGGUUUUGUCCGUAGCUGUUGCUUCAAAAUGGCAUAAGACAACUUGAUGUCAAAAAUGCAUUUCUACAUGGCCACAUGCAGGAUGAAGUAUUCAUGAUUCAACCUCCAGGAUUCAUUGACCCCAAGUAUCCAACUCAUGUAUGUUUGUUAAAGAAGGAAUUGUAUGGUCUUAAACAGGAACCUAGAGCAUGGUUUGACAGAUUCAGUAUGUAUUUACUUCACCUCGGUUUCAUUUGUAGCAAGGAAGAUCUCUCUUUGUUUACUUUAUAUGGUAACAGAGGGACUAUCUUAUUAUUACUAUAUGUGGAUGAUAUAAUUAUAACAUGAAGUGAUUGAAAGUAUGUCUCAAAGGUGGUCGCUAAACUUGGGAGAGAAUUUCCUAUGAAAGAUCUUGGUCCUUUACAUUUCUUUCUGGGAAUUGAGGUCAAGUACUUCUCAGGUGGACUGCACUUGAGUCAGGGGAAGUAUGCUACUGAGUUGCUUAAUAAGACUGAUAUGAUAUGGGAAAAAACAAUAAAUGCACCUUUUGCACAGAAACAUGACUUACAUAAAGCUGUUGGAAGCCCUAUUGAUGCAUCUUUGUAUAGAAGAAUUGUGGGAAGUCUUCAGUAUUUGACACUCAUAAGGCCUGACAUCACUCAUGCAGUAAAUCUAGCAAGUCAAUUCAUGCAGAGUCCAAAUAGUGAACAUCUUCAAGGUGUUAAAAGGAUCCUCAGGUACAUCAAAGGAACUUUACAUCAUGGGCUCAGAAUUAUCCCACAAUCACCCUGCAGGUUAUAUGGCUAUUCAGAUGCUGCUGAUUGGGGAGGCUGCACUACAACUAGGAGGUCAACUACAGGUUAUAACAUAUAUUGAGGUACAAAUUGUAUCUCUUGGACCUCGAAGAAACAAACCACAGUAGCAAGGUCCAGUGCCGAAGCUGAAUAUAGAGCCUUAGCUUCUACUACAGCUGAGAUGACAUGGAUCCUUUACCUUCUUCAUGACAUUGGAGUAUAUCUUAAGACAGUGCCUAUACUGUAGUGUGACAAUUUAAGUGCCUUAUACUUGACAGCUAGUCCAGUGAUGCAUGCCAGAACAAAGCAUAUAGAAAUGGACUACCAUUUUGUUCGAGAAAAAGUGGCGAGAGGACAGCUAGUCACACAGUUCGUAAAGUCUAGAGAUCAGCUAGCUGACAUUCAUACAAAGGCGUUGACAAAGCAGGCAUUUUCUAAUUUUAGAAGCAAGCUAGGAGUGAGUGUUCCACCACUCACUAGCUUGAGGGGAAGUGUUGAAGAUACUGAUCAAAUAAAAGAUAAGGAGAGUGUACGAUUCUGUUAGGGUAGCUGAUUCUGUUAGAGUUAUCCUAUGCUUUGCAUCUAUAAUUGUACUAGUAUUGUAGUAGUAGUAAACAUCUACUUGUAUAUGUAGUUGCCUAGUGAUAAAACACUAAGUCUUUAAUAAUGCCAUAACUAGGACUCUUGUAAGUAGUCUAGGACUCUACAACUACGUAGUAUUCAACUCCUAUAAGUAGGAGCAUGUACUCAACUCCUUAAUCAUCAUAAAUAUACUUUGAUUCUCU